rnacentral:rRNA from 1 species
UAGAGUUUGAUCCUGGCUCAGGAUGAACGCUAGCGGCAGGCCUAACACAUGCAAGUCGAGGGGUAACAGAGAAGCUUGCUUCUGCUGACGACCGGCGCACGGGUGCGUAACGCGUAUGCAACCUACCUCAUACAGGAGAAUAGCCCUUGGAAACGAGGAUUAAUACUCCAUAGUAUCAUUCUUUCGCAUGUUAGAAUGAUUAAAGAAUUUCGGUAUGAGAUGGGCAUGCGUCCCAUUAGCUUGUUGGUGAGGUAACGGCUCACCAAGGCAACGAUGGGUAGGGGGCCUGAGAGGGUGGUCCCCCACACUGGUACUGAGACACGGACCAGACUCCUACGGGAGGCAGCAGUGAGGAAUAUUGGUCAAUGGAGGAAACUCUGAACCAGCCAUGCCGCGUGAAGGAUGACGGCCCUAUGGGUUGUAAACUUCUUUUAUAUGGGAAGAAACUUAUCUACGUGUAGAUAACUGACGGUACCAUACGAAUAAGGAUCGGCUAACUCCGUGCCAGCAGCCGCGGUAAUACGGAGGAUCCAAGCGUUAUCCGGAUUCAUUGGGUUUAAAGGGUCCGUAGGCGGAUUUUUAAGUCAGUGGUGAAAGCCGACAGCUCAACUGUCGAACUGCCAUUGAUACUGGAAAUCUUGAGUAC